UACCCAGACUCCUACGGGAGGCAGCAGUGGGGAAUAUUGCACAAUGGGGGGAACCCUGAUGCAGCGACGCCGCGUGGGUGAAGGAGUAUUUCGGUAUGUAAAGCCCUAUCAGCAGGGAAGAACAAUGACGGUACCUGACUAAGAAGCACCGGCUAAAUACGUGCCAGCAGCCGCGGUAAUACGUAUGGUGCAAGCGUUAUCCGGAUUUACUGGGUGUAAAGGGAGCGCAGGCGGCACGGCAAGCCUGAUGUGAAAACCCGAGGCUCAACCACGGGAGUGCAUUGGAAACUGGCGGGCUGGAGUGCCGGAGAGGUAAGCGGAAUUCCUAGUGUAGCGGUGAAAUGCGUAGAUAUUAGGAGGAACACCGGUGGCGAAGGCGGCUUACUGGACUGUAACUGACGUUGAGGCUCGAAAGCGUGGGGAGCAAACAGGAUUAGAUACCCCGGUA
rnacentral:rRNA from 1 species